rnacentral:rRNA from 1 species
GACGAACGCUGGCGGCGUGCCUAAUACAUGCAAGUCGAACGCAGUGGGGACGGGGGAGUAACACGUGGGUAACCUCCCAUCAGAGGGGAUAACACUUGGAAACAGGUGCUAAACCGAUACUGAUGGAUGGACCCGCGGUGCAUUAGCUAGUUGGUGAGGUAACGGCUCACCAAGGCCACGAUGCAUAGCCGCGCUGAGAGGGUGAUCGGCCACACUGGGACUGAGACACGGCCCAGACUCCUACGGGCGGCAGCAGUAGGGAAGCUUCGGCAAUGGACGCAAGUCGGCCCGAGAAAUGCCGCGUGAGUGAAGAGGGUUUUCGCACCGUAAAACUCUGUUUUUAGAGAAGCGGUAUCUAACCAGAAAGCCACGGCUAACUCCGUGCCAGCCGCCGCGGUAAUUC